rnacentral:rRNA from 1 species
UACGUAGGGUGCAGGCGUUAAUCGGAAUUACUGGGCGUAAAGCGUGCGCAGGCGGCUUUGCAAGACAGAUGUGAAAUCCCCGGGCUCAACCUGGGAACUGCAUUUGUGACUGCAUGGCUAGAGUACGGUAGAGGGGGAUGGAAUUCCGCGUGUAGCAGUGAAAUGCGUAGAUAUGCGGAGGAACACCGAUGGCGAAGGCAAUCCCCUGGACCUGUACUGACGCUCAUGCACGAAAGCGUGGGGAGCAAACAGG